rnacentral:tRNA from 1 species
GGGGAUUUAGUUCAGUGGUAGAGCGCUUGCCUAGCAAGCACAAGGCCCUGGGUUCGGUUCCCAGCUCCG